UACGUAGGGUCCGAGCGUUGUCCGGAUUACUGGGCGUAAAGAGCUCGUAGGUGGUUUGUCGCGUUGUUCGUGAAAACUCACAGCUCAACUGUGGGCGUGCGGGCGAUACGGGCAGACUGGAGUACUGCAGGGGAGACUGGAAUUCCUGGUGUAGCGGUGGAAUGCGCAGAUAUCAGGAGGAACACCGGUGGCGAAGGCGGGGUCUCUGGGCAGUAACUGACGCUGGAGGAGCGAAAGCCGUGGGGGAGCGAACAGG
rnacentral:rRNA from 1 species